rnacentral:rRNA from 1 species
CCUACGGGAGGCAGCAGUGAGGAAUAUUGGGCAAUGGACGAGAGUCUGAACCAGCCAAGUAGCGUGAAGGAUGACUGCCCUAUGGGUUGUAAACUUCUUUUAUAUGGGAAUAAGCUGUUCCACGUGUGGGCUUUUGUAUGUACCAUAUGAAUAAGGAUAGGCUAACUCCGUGCCAGCAGCCGCGGUAAUAUGGAGGAUACGAGCGUUAUCCGGAUGUAUUGGGUUUAAAGGGAGCGUAGGUGGAUUGUUAAGUCAGUUGUGAAAGUUAGUGGCUCAACCGUAAAAUUGCAGUUGAUACUGGCAGUCUUGAGUACAGUAGAGGGGGGCGGAAUUCGUGGUGUAGCGGUGAAAUGCUUAGAUAUCACGAAGAACACCGAAUGCGAAGGCAGCUCCCUGGACUGCAACUGACACUGAGGCUCGAAAGUGUGGGUAUCAAACAGGAUUAGAUACCCCGGUAGUC